rnacentral:tRNA from 1 species
CGGGAUGUAAUAUAAUGGCAUUAUGCAGGCUUCGGGAGUCUGUUAUCUGGGUUCAAUUCCCAGCAUCCCGACCA